rnacentral:rRNA from 1 species
UGGGGAAUAUUGGGCAAUGGGCGCAAGCCUGACCCAGCAACGCCGCGUGAAGGAAGAAGGCUUUCGGGUUGUAAACUUCUUUUCUGAGGGACGAAGAAAGUGACGGUACCUCAGGAAUAAGCCACGGCUAACUACGUGCCAG